GACGAACGCUGGCGGCGUGCUUAACACAUGCAAGUCGAACGUGAAGCUGGAGCUUGCUCCGGUGGAAAGUGGCGAACGGGUGCGUAACACGUGAGCAACCUGCCCCGAAGACUGGGAUAACACCGGGAAACCGGUGCUAAUACCGGAUACCUUCUUCCGAUCGCAUGGUUGGAUGAAGAAAUGGAUUCCGCUUCGGGAUGGGCUCGCGGCCUAUCAGCUUGUUGGGAGGUAACGGCCCACCAAGGCGACGACGGGUAGCUGGUCUGAGAGGACGACCAGCCACACUGGGACUGAGACACGGCCCAGACUCCUACGGGAGGCAGCAGUGGGAAUCUUGCUCAAUGGGCGAAAGCCUGAAGCAGCGACGCCGCGUGCGGGAUGAAGGCCCUC
rnacentral:rRNA from 1 species